GCUGACGCUGGCGUGGGUGUGCCUGCAGGGCGCGUUCGGGGCGCUGACGGUGACGAUGAAGCUGUUUCCGGCGAUCGUCACGCUGCACCUGCUC
rnacentral:tRNA from 1 species